rnacentral:lncRNA from 1 species
AAAUUAUGCAGGAAUCAGAGUAGGUUUCUAUCUGUGCCUGACAGUUCUCAAGUCAUUUACAUUUGUGUGGGAACUUGCUUUUAGGUGGUCGUUUCUUACCAGAGGAUGCAUUAAAGGCCAGCUCCUCCCCACAAUCCCCCUCUCCAAAGUUUUUGUCUGCUCUCAUCAUUUUCUGGGUCAUGUUGUCAUUGUUCCUGAAGGGGCCUUGUCUCUGCUAAUGGGUUAUAACUGCUUGAGAGUUGGAAUCCCAUCACAUUUAUGAGCCGACACACAACACCAAGCAAGAAGAUUGAGGGAGGAAAGGAAGAUCAUAGGCAGUGUUUGGGAAGCAUCACAUAAUACUCCCUAGGGAUGGAAGACAAAUACAGGUGUCAUGGAGUAGCAAAGGCGGAGUUCAUCAGCUCAUCAGCACAGGCCAUUCUUCCUGAGCAUGCAUCCUAGUGAUGGAGGUUGAGUCCUACUCCCUAUUAGGUGAUAGACUAUUGAUAAAAACAAGGAGGGUGAUGACGAUAAUCAGCAGUUAAUACAUGCUUGUACUGUAUGCCAGGCACCGUGCAAGUGCAUGAAAAGCCUCAUCUCAUUUAGUCCCUCCAACAUUCUUAUCAGGUCAAUUCUAUUAUUACCCCCCCUCUUACAGUCGGGAAAAUUGAGUUCUAGAGAGUUUGCCAUUGGCCCAAGUGACUCAAUGGCAAAGCCAUGCCUCAACCCCAUGUCUGCAGAGUCUUAAGCACAGCUCGAGUUCUGUUCUCUGCCACUUUUGGGAUGUCCUGUGAAGCCCCUGCUACAGGGAUUGGGCAUGGCUGGGUGCUCUGUCUACUCAGGGCUUCUAGAUUCCCGAGGAGAGAGAGAGAGAGAGUGUGUGUGUGUGUGUGUGUGUGUGUGUGUACAUGUGAGAGAAGAAGAAAGAGAGGGAGAGAGAGGGCAAUUUAAAAAGCGUAUGUAGGUGUUUGCCUGGCCCAACAGCUUACCUAUAGUAUUUAGUGCAUGUGUAUCAGGGUCUGGGAGGAAAAGCACCACCAGGCAUGACGCGGGUCAGGGCAGGGCAUGACUGGGACUUCCCUGUGUGGUCUCUGCCUGCACAGGUCCUUUGGGCUCUGGUGGGGGACCAGGCCUGGGUAGGCAGCACCACUAGCUAUUCUCUGCCCCUCCUUGGUGGCCCUGCAGAGGGUGUGGGUCAGUCCCCUGCAAUAACCUGGCCCCUGUGCAAAGGUGUUUUUCAGAGGCAUCACUGUGAACGCGGUGCGGGGCUUCCCAAUGAGUGCGGCCAUGUUCCUUGGGUACGAGCUGUCGCUGCAGGCUAUCCGCGGGGACCACACAGUGACGAGCCCAUGAGCGCCAGGGUCUCAUCCCAUUAACAGGUCAAUGCUAAAAGUGUCUGCAGAACCCAUGAUGUGAAUUUACUGAAGAGAAAGACUCUCCACCAGGUGGGCUUUCAGCCAGGCAGGCUGUCCUCAGAACCUCUUCCUUCCUUCACAAUUACAAGCAUUCUCAUCCCCACCCCGGCUGGGGCAGCGGAGCUUCUGCCUUGGAGGGAUUCAACUGACCAUUGGUCAACUGAUCACCAACUAUUCCAGCUUUGGACCUGCACCUGGUAACAAACAAACGAACAGAACAAAACAAAACUGGAGUAAAAUAGACCCUCCCCCCAUGGCCAUUGUAAACUCACUGUGAAUUCAUGGAAGAGCUGGAGUUGGCUCUAAGUUUCAAAAUAAAAGCAUUAAAAAC